GGGUGGCUAGUGUAGUGGUUAGGACUUUGGUCUUGUAACUCAGUUGUAGGUUCAAUUCCUGCCUGAGGCA